UGAGAACUGAAUUCCAUGGACUGGUUCCAGUUCCAUGUGUUCAGUCCAUGGUAUUCAGUUCUCUA
rnacentral:pre_miRNA from 2 species